rnacentral:lncRNA from 1 species
GGCGGAAGUACAUGUGAUACAUCCUCAUUCUUUCAAUAUCCAAGCUGUGGGAAGGUCGUGCUCCACGUGUUGUCGGCAAAGUAACUAUAUUCUUUAACUUUUACUUACAUUUGCCUUUGGCAAUAUAGCCUUGGUGGCUUUAAGACCUUGGUGGUCAUUUAUAUAUGCCUUGGUGGCAAAAGACCUAGGUGGUCAUUUAUAUAUGCCUUGGUGGCAAUAGACCUAGGUGGUCAUUUUUAUAUGCCUUGGUGGCAAUAGACCUAGGUGGUCAUUUUUAUGAUUUUUUACAUUUGCCUUGAUGGCAACAAUGAAUUAAAAAUACUAGCCUUGGGGGCGUCAAGACCUUGGUGGUCAUUUAUAUUCGCCUUGGCGGCUUCUUGAUAGAACUAGAUGGUAAUGUUUGACCUUGGUGGCAAAAUGUUUUGGGAUUUAGACCUUUAGGUAGUUAUUAUCAACCCAGGUGGUCAGAUAUUUGUUAUGCCGUGCGCCGGUUAAACGCAGGGCAAAGUGCUAUCGCUAUAUAAAAUAUAUGUGGAAGUGGGGGCUCUGGCCAUUUUGGAAAAUUGUAGUUGAAAGGAGAAUAAUAAAUUGUUUAUAGGGUAAAUAGUUUCUUUUGUUACUUUUGACUGUGUUGUGGACUUUUCAUUUAUUUUUACAUCGUACAUACUGAUAGAAAUGCUAUUUAAAGACUUUGUUAGAAAAGAAUAGAAUUAUUGAGAAAGUGGAAUAAUUUAGUGUGACAUGUCACUUGAUAUUCAUGUUUUUUAUCGGAGUGAUGUGUAUUGAAUUAUAAGGUGUCUUCGUCGAGGUCCGCGUUCAGCGGUCUGUUUGAUUGUACAUAGAAUUGAAUAGAAUGUUUUUGUUUUCAGAUGGUGUUACCUACAGCUUUGACAGGGUGACGAAUGAAGGAGAAGUAAUAUGACAUUGCACGAUGAUUCAUGUCAAUGAGUUUGAACAACCUUUUUUAAAAGGAAAGGAUUUUUUCUAAUCAGAAUAUGGUGAGAACAAAUUGCAAUUGAAGUAAUGUUUUGAUUUCUGAAAAUAGGAAAAUAAUGAAUGGGGAAAAUAUUGAUACUACACUAAAUUAUGUAUGUCUGUGUUGAGAAAGGCAGAAGAUGCCAAUAUGGCACGGUACUAAAAAAAAAAAAAAAAAAAAAAAAAAUCUGUGAUGGAAGCAGCUUUAUGUUCAAA